rnacentral:rRNA from 1 species
UGGGGAAUUUUGGACAAUGGGCGAAAGCCUGAUCCAGCAAUGCCGCGUGUGUGAAGAAGGCCUUCGGGUUGUAAAGCACUUUUGUCCAGAAAGAAGUCCUUGGCUCUAAUACAGUCGGGGGAUGACGGUACCGGAAGAAUAAGCACCGGCUAACUACGUGCCAGCAGCCGCGGUAAUACGUAGGGUGCAAGCGUUAAUCGGAAUUACUGGGCGUAAAGCGUGCGCAGGCGGUUUGCUAAGACCGAUGUGAAAUCCCCGGGCUCAACCUGGGAACUGCAUUGGUGACUGGCAGGCUAGAGUAUGGCAGAGGGGGGUAGAAUUCCACGUGUAGCAGUGAAAUGCGUAGAGAUGUGGAGGAAUACCGAUGGCGAAGGCAGCCCCCUGGGCCAAUACUGACGCUCAUGCACGAAAGCGUGGGGAGCAAACAGGAUUAGAUACCCUGGUAGUCCACGCCCUAAAACGAUGUCAACUAGUUGUUGGGGAUUCAUUUCCUUAGUAACGUAGCUAACGCGUGAAGUUGACCGCCUAGGGAGUACGGUCGCAAGAUUAAAACUUAAA